UACGUAGGGGGCGAGCGUUGUCCGGAGUUACUGGGCGUAAAGCGCACGCAGGCGGUCUUCUCAGUUCGGAGUGACAGUCGUCGGCUUAACCGACGAAGGCCUUGGAAGACGGGGAGACUUGAGGGCUCAAGAGGGACACGGAAUUCCGGGUGGAGUGGUGAAAUGCGUAGAUAUCCGGAGGAACACCAAUGGCGAAGGCAGUGUCCUGGGGAGUACCUGACGCUCAGGUGCGAAAGCCAGGGGAGCGAACGG
rnacentral:rRNA from 1 species